AGUGAACGCUGGCGGCAUGCCUAAUACAUGCAAGUCGAACGGAGAUUAAGUAGCUUGCUAUUUAAUCUUAGUGGCGCACGGGUGAGUAAUAUAUAGCUAACUUGCCCAUUACUAAGGGACAACAGUUGGAAACGACUGCUAAUACCUUAUACUCCGUAUCUAUAUAAGUAGAUACGGGAAAGUUUUUCGGUAAUGGAUAGGGCUAUAUCGUAUCAGCUAGUUGGUAAGGUAAUGGCUUACCAAGGCUAUGACGCGUAACUGGUCUGAGAGGAUGAUCAGUCACACUGGAACUGAGACACGGUCCAGACUCCUACGGGAGGCAGCAGUAGGGAAUAUUGCUCAAUGGGGGAAACCCUGAAGCAGCAACGCCGCGUGGAGGAUGACACUUUUCGGAGCGUAAACUCCUUUUCUUGGGAAAGAAUUAUGACGGUACCCAAGGAAUAAGCACCGGCUAACUCCGUG
rnacentral:rRNA from 1 species